rnacentral:rRNA from 1 species
AUUGAACGCUGGCGGCACGCUUUACACAUGCAAGUCGAACGGUAACAGGGUGCUUGCACCGCUGACGAGUGGCGAACGGGUGAGUAAUGCGUCGGAACGUGCCGAGUAGUGGGGGAUAACGCAGCGAAAGUUGUGCUAAUAACGCAUACGUACUGAGGUAGGAAGUGGGGGACCUUCGGGCCUCACGCUAUUCGAGCGGCCGACGUCUGAUUAGCUAGUAGGUGAGGUAAAGGCUCACCUAGGCGACGAUCAGUAGCGGGUCUGAGAGGAUGAUCCGCCACAAUGGGACUGAGACACGGCCCAGACUCCUACGGGAGGCAGCAGUGGGGAAUUUUGGACAAUGGGCGAAAGCCUGAUCCAGCCAUGCCGCGUGUCUGAAGAAGGCCUUCGGGUUGUAAAGGACUUUUGUCAGGGAGGAAAUCCCUAGUGCUAAUAACACUGGGGGAUGACAGUACCUGAAGAAUAAGCACCGGCUAACUACGUGCCAGCAGCCGCCGUAA